rnacentral:lncRNA from 1 species
UUCAUUCUUGCUCCACGUCUCCUUUAGGAGAUGGGGGAGAGAGAGAAGCAGGACAGGAUAGGGAAGGAGCUAAGCCAGGAUGUAGCCUCAGCUGAGGUCUAGCUUCGGCCUGAAUUGCACCAGGUGUUGAUCCCACCUUGCAGAAAGAGGGCUGAGCUUUUGUACCCCUGACUCAAUGAGUCCACAGUCUGCCUGGUGGGAGGACGGGAGAGCUGCCACAGGUUAAAAUCCCCUGGCAGGCGACUCCCAUGGGCCAAGGGCAAUUGUGAGAGGCAGGAGUCGUGAGAAGGGGGCAGUGGUGAACUGUUAGCAGCGGGGAAUGCCAGCAGUUGGGGUGUGGGUGCACCAGCUCGUAAAUGGAGUGUAGGUGAGGAACUCACAGUGUCCACCACACUGGCUGUCCUCUUUUCUUUUAAAUUUAAAAUGUGUGUAUUUUUUAUUUUUGUGGGUACUUAGUAGGGGUAUCUAUGGGGUACAUGAAAUGUUUUGAUCCAGGCAUGCAAUGCCUCAUAAUCGUAUGAUGGAGGACGGGGUAUCCAUCCCCUGAAACAUUUACCUUUGUGUUAUAAACAAUCCAAUUACACUCUUUUAGUUAUUUUAAAAUGUUGGGUGUCCUCUUAUUGUAUUAAUUCAUCACUACCUAAACCUCCCAAACUUAGGGUCAACCCUUAGAAGAAAAGGGAGACUGAAUUGAACCAAGAUACAGUUUCCACCACCCUCCAUCACGGCCAUUGCAUCCAGUGUACGAACAAAACAACAGCCCUGCUCACACAUCUAGGCUCACAGCAUGCAAGCUGUGCCUAUUCCAGUUGUAGGACUCUAGAACCUUCAAGACACUGAGGGCAGAACUUCAGAAUUGUAGCUUUCAGGCUCUCUGAGCUAAUGUACCCACAAAGGGGGCCUCCCCAGGGGAAGACAGAAUGGGGCCUGGCUCGAGGACCAGGCUGGGCAGAUGAAGUUACAAGGUGAGGAAAGACAAGGUGGCUUGACCAGGUCUCACGGGAGGCCCCACGACAGACCGUGGAGAGGAUGGCGAGACCUGAGAUUGUGAGAAGGUGUAGGAAAUUAGGUACCAGUGGAGCAGCCUUGGGGUAGGUGAGGACCUGGCUGCAGCCCUGACCCCAGCUGCAAAACGACCUGGAUGCUUCGGCUCUGAGUAGCGCUUAGAGCAGGGCCACACUUCAACACCACCCAUGCCAAACUGAACCCCUUUCACCUGGGUACAGCACUCUACAGUGAGCAAACAAUCUAAUAGCUCAGCAUCUGGAGGUGGGUGAGUUGGGGGCUAAAUUUGACGCAGGGGGAAACUGAGGCCUAGAGAAGUGCACUAACUUACUUCACUAGCAAAUUCUGAUGAAGCACCUACUCUGUGCCAGGCACUAAUUCAGGUCCUGAGAUACUUCAGUAAACAAAAGAGAAACCCCUGCCCACAUGGAGCACAUAUUCAGGUGGGCGAGGAGGGGGUUGGGGAAGGAAGUAAUUAUUGCUGUGGAGAAAAAGAAUGAAGCAGGGAAGGGAGAUAAGAAGGCAGGAGGGCUGGGCGCGGUGGCUCACACCUGUGAUCCCAACACUUUGGGAGGCUGAGGCAGGCAGAUCACUUGAGGCCAGGAGUUUGAGACCAGCCUGGCCAACAUGGCAAAACCCCAUCUCUACUAAAAGUACAAAAAAAUCAGCCAGAAUGUGGUGGUGCUUGCCUGUAAUCCCAGCUACUCGGGAGGCUGAGGCACGAGAAAAUUGCUUGAACCCGGGAGGCGGAGGUUGCAGUGAGCCGAGAUGGCACCACUGCACUCCAGCCUGGGCGACAGAGUGAGACACUGCCUCAAAAAAAAAAAAAAGGAAGGCUGGGGGUGGAAACUGCCAUUUGAAAAUAGAGGGUCAGGGAAGGUGUCACUUCCUAAAGAGAGGAUGCUUGAAUAAGAACUUGGAGGUGAGAGAAGUCGUGCAGGGAACAGCGGGAAUAGCCGAUGCUAAGCUCCCCCAGGUAGAUUUGCAAUGGGAGACGGAGAGAUGAGGUCAGAGAGGUCUUGUAGGGGCAGGUCCUGCAGGGCCAUGAGGACUUUGCUGUUACACUGAGUGAUAUGGGAGCCACUGGAAGGCUUUGAGUGGGAGGUGACAUGACCUGACGUGGGUUCUCACAGGAUCCCUCUGGCUUUCAGGGAAGCGUGUGAGUGUGGAUGCAGGUGAGCAGCGAGAAAGUAACUGUAAUAGUCCAGGUGAGAAAUGACAGUGGCUUGCUCUAAAGUAGAAUUUUUUUUUUUUUUUUUUUUUUUUUUUUUUUUUGUGAGACAGGGUCUUACUCUUUCACCCAGGCUGGAGCGUAGUGGUGCAAUCAUGGAUUACUGCAGCCUCAACCUCUGGGGCCCAAGUGAUCCUCCCAUUUUAGCCUCUCAAGUAGCUGGGACCACAGGCAUGUGCCACCAUGCCCGGCUAAUUUUUUGAAAUUAUUUUUUGUAGAGAUGGGGUCUCAAUAUGUUACCCAGGCUGGUCUUGAACCCCUGGGCUCAAGUGAUCCUCCUGCCUCAGCUUCCCAAAGUGCUGGGAUUACAGGCACAAGCCACCGUACCUGGUCCUAAAGUAGAGUUUCUCAACUUCAGCACUAUCAUCAUUUGGGCUGAAUGAAUCUUUGUUGUGGGGCUGUCCUGUGCACUGUGGAUGUUUAGCGGCAUCCCGGCAUCUACCCACUAGGUGCCAAUAGUACCAUCCCACCUGGUAUGAUACCAAAAAUAUCUCCAGACAAUGCCAAAUGCUCUCUGAGGGGCAAAAAUCACCCCCCGUUGAGAACUUCUGGUCUGGAGCAGGAGUCAGCCAGCUAUGGCUCACGGGCCAAAUGCAACCUGCCACCUGCUUGUACAACCCGAGAGCAAGCUGAGAGCAGAUUUCACAUUUUUAAAUGGUUCCGUUUUAAGUGAUUAUGUAAGUACCUACAGAAUAUCCUCAAUUUUGCCUCUUGGCCUGCAAACCUCAAAUAUUUACUAUCUGGCCCUUUCAAGAAAAGCGUGCCGACUCUUGGUCAGGAGUGUUCAUGGGGGUGAUGAAAAGGGGUUGGAGGCUGAUACACUUUGAAAGCAGGGCCUUGGGAUUUAUGCAGAGGUCCCACACGGAGUGUGAACAAAGGAGGAGUCAUGAGUAGCUCCCAGGUUUUUGGCCUCUGUGGCUGGAAAGAGAUACUGAGAUGGGGGGAAAUCGGCAGGAGCGAGUUCGCAGUGGGAGGACGUGGGGCUUAGUUUUGGAGAUGUUAAGUUUGAGGAAUGUCACAUAGACAGGGGAAGGACACCAGCUUUGGAGUUAGGCAGGGUCAUUGUCUGAAUCCCAGCUCUGCCGUGGACUCACUGCAGAACCUCAGGUAAAGAAGGACUUGCCUCUCUGAGCCUCAGUUUCCUCACCUGCAAAAAGGAGGGCAUGUUUCGUGUGGGCUGGAUCUCUGGAUAAGGGGCUUUUAUGAUGAACACUGAGGCAUAGGCAAUAUGCUUUUAAAGUGUUUUGAGGAUCACCUGCGUCAGAAUCAGUUGAGAUCCUUGUUAGGGAUGCAGAUCCUGGGCUGCCUCUAGAGACUUUGAUUCUGUGGUCUGGGCGAUGGACCCGGAAUCUGAACUGCCUGGGUUUUGAGAACUCCUGACCUAGGGCUUGGGUGUCCAAUUAAAGAGCCUGUGGCUGCCUCUCAAGACUUGCAGGUUCCCAAGUGGAAAUGUCUUUAAAGAUCACAGAGCCCAGCAGCCUACCCCCGUUAGGCAAAUGAGAAACCCGAAGACCAGAGAAGCCGAGUGCCUUGCCUGAGGCCACACAGCUGGGAAGCAGCAGAGCUGGGUCUGGGAUGGUUGAUGGAUAGGUGGAAAGGUAACAGCUGGUUCAGGUAACAAGCAAUUGGAUCCAGACAGUGCGGGUAGGAUCCAGGUCAGAGUUGAAUUUCAUUUUGGGAAUCAAAUCCUUCUGGACUUGGGAGAGAGACAUGUGGUUUCUUCCCAUUUGAGAGUGUUAAAUGACUCUCCCAGACUCCUGUUCAGCUAAUGCUUUGGAGAAACAGGAGCCCAUUUUCUGUGACACUCUUUGGCCAGCCAGGCCACCCCAGUCUCCAAUAAGCCCCUUCCUGCAGCCCAAUGGACUUGCUGAACCCUUGUGGGUAGCAAUGUGGGGCACACACCACCAGUAUUAGUUACAUUGAAAUCUGGAUUUCUCAACCUUGACUGGUUUAGCUGCCCAGGGACAAGCCAUCAGAAUCACAUUGAUUCACAGAGUGAGAAGGUGCUACCCUUUCCAAUUGUCUUCAGACCCCCAGACUCCCUGAAGUGGAAAGUCCCAGUAUGAAGCCAGUGACAUUUUAACACCUCUCUAACACACAUCUUCCCUUUUAACCCAGAGAGUAGGUAUCAGGCUUCAGCAUCUGGCUGGAAUUUUAUGACAUGAUUUAUGGCAAAUGGCACCAGUUCUUCAUAAUAUCAAAUUUCCUGUUAAAACAACUCGAUUUAGUAAAAUUAAUGACUUAAUCUAAAGAAGACUAUUAAGCAAAUCCUAUUUCAGGUAUUUCCCCUGGACCUAAUGGUGGUCUCUGACCCAAACUGGUUCCCUCACUCAUGAUCCCUUCUGGCCACAGGGAUUGGCUCAGAGAUGAUCAUGUGGCUCAAGUCUGUCCAGUCAGAGGCAAUCUUCAUGGGAAGAGUCAGGAAAAAAAUGGCCAUUUUAUCUGCUGGCCUUCAUGCUGGGAGGGUGGAAUCUGGAGGCAAUGUCAGCUGAGAGAUGAGGAAUGACUUUCCAAGGCCACCGGCAUUAGUGGUGGAGCAGGGAUUUGAACUAGGCCCACCUGCCCACAAAGGUAGUACAACUUCCCGCUAAACCACAUUUCUGGUGAAUUCCCUGGGAUUCUUCAUUUUAUUUCUUUCCUUUUCUUUUUUGUUUUUUAGACAGAGUCUUGCUCUGUUGCCUAGGCUGGAGUACAGUGGCCCUAUCUCGGCUCACUGCAAGCUCCUCCUCCCGGGUUCACACCAGUCUCCUGCCUCAGCCUCCCGAGUAGCUGGGAUUACAGGCAUCCGCCACCACGCCCGGCUAAUUUUUUGUAUUUUUAGUAGAGACAGGGUUUCACCUUGUUAGCCAGGCUAGUCUCAAUCUCCUGACCUCGUGAUCUGCCCGCCUCGGCCUCCCAAAGUGCUGGGAUUAUAGGCGUGAGCCACUGCCUAUAGUUCCCUCAGAACUUCUGUUUCCUGGGUUUUGAGUCUUCAUACGUAGGGUUUACUUAAGUAAAAUGUAAUGGCACCCCAUAAAAUAUAACCCAAAUAGGUACCUUUGAAAAGCUGAUAGAAGACACUGUAAUGAUCAUUCAACACAUUCUGGGCACUGGAGAAGGUAUUUGGCCACUUGUAAAGAAUUUAGUGCCCUGUGCUUUCAGUGGAUGAUAAGAAACUUCUGGCUGGAGUUCGAGCUGAACAUUUCAGACCAUCUCACCACUCCUCAACCAAAGGAAGGUGAAUUGUGGUUUCUGCCAACUUUGACUAACCUCUGAAUUCAUCCAUCCAUUCAUCCAGCAAAAUUUUAUGGAAGAUUUGCAUGGA